UUCAAAAGGGAAAAGAAAAAAGGAUGCCUUGCUUCCUUCCCUCCAUUUCCCCUUUGCCUCCUCAGCUGAAAAAGCGCAGCCAACCACACUCCAUGAUCCUCGUCUCCGUCCACACCUGCAUCGGCUAUGCAGCCGAACUGCGGCUGCUGCUGCAAAGGCUAUAAACCACACCACGGGCCCUGCGCCACGGCUGCCUUCGCAAGCGUAGCGCAGGCAUGGGCAACGUCGUCGUCUCGGGCGUGCAGAUCCGGCGGCGGCUGCCUGCGGUGGAGGAGCGGCUCACGCGGCCGCGCCGCCUCGUCCGGGAGCUGCCCGACCUUGACGCCGGCCGCCUGCAUCACCUCAUCCGCAGCGGCGACCUCGCGCCGUGCUUCGACGCGGCCGACGACGCCGGCGACGGGCGAGCGGAGGAGUGCCCCAUUUGCUUCUACUUCUAUCCGAGUCUGAAUAGAUCCAAGUGUUGCGGCAAAGGGAUCUGCACCGAAUGCUUCUUACAGCUGAUGCCAUCCAAGACUUCUAAAGCUGUCCACUGUCCAUUCUGCAAAACCAAGUCUUACGCAAUUGAAUACCGAGGUGCGCAAACAACAAGUGAGAAGAAAAUUAAACAAGAGGGAGAACAAAACGUCAAUGAGAGCAAAUUGAGAGUACAUCCAAAAUCUCUGAUUGCCGGCAAAAUUAUUCUACCUUAGAAUUAGCAAGUCCAAUUUUAUCUUACACUGAUGCAAGCUCACUAACCUAUUGAAAAAAAAUCUGAUUCAGCUUGGGUGGCUCUGCAUUGGCUGAUUCAGAAAAAGAGUCCACUGUAUACUGAAACAAGAAUAUUCUGCUAGUGGCUGUAAAAGAAUGAGGAGUUGGUGUAGAACUGUACGUUGAUUCUGUAGGAGGCUCUGAAGACAAAAAUUAAGCUCCAAGUGUUUUGUCCUUGAUUACAUUAGUGGUGAUCAAGACCUCCACGUCAGCAUCCAAUAAUACGACAGCAAUUACUUGGAC